CAAGCCACCACUGCCCACUGUUUUCUAUAUCUAUGCACAGUCUCAGGUUAUUAUCGGCUGGGCUGCCCCCCGGCUGUGGUUGUGCAACAUUUCCUUACGGUUUCUUUUCUGUUCAUCAGUUUGUUUUUUGUUUUGCUUUUACUUUUUUGAGGGAGUCACAGAGGUUUAGUUUCCUUAUCUGGUCAUUCAGAAAUACAAGUGACUGUCUCAAGCGCUUGUACAUCAGCUUGAACAGUCAUGAUUCUGGAACUGAAAACCCCCAAAGUGCAGAAGUACGAGAGUCUCCUCUGCCGCAGAGGAAGAUGUGAAAAAGGAAAAAGGAAGUCAUCGAUGUUUUAAAGCUUUGAGAGACGCUCACUGUGCACACUGGACACAGUCCGUGUGUCACUGUUAUACAAUGGCAGUGCAUGGCCACUGUAUGCCGGCAUUAUUGUUAAUUCUGUUUCACAUUAUGCCAGUUGCUGUGAGCUCUAAGAUGAUCACUGGAUUUGUUGGGUAUAACGUGACCCUGCCGUGCUCCUACGAUGCACGGUAUUACGGGGGACUUCAUGUGUGCUGGGGGAGAGGUGAAAUACCUCAAUUUGGCUGUGACAAGGAAAUCUUCACAACAGUUGGAUUAUAUGGAGUUCUAUGGAGAAAAUCACACAGGUAUCAGUUAAUCGGUGACCAGAAACAGGGUGACGUAUCUCUGACCAUCAUCAGUGCUGAGAUGGGAGAUUCUGGGAUAUACGGCUGUCGUGUGGAAAUACCAGGACCAUUUAAUGAUCUGAAAACCCAAGUUACCUUGACUAUGCAGAAUAUUCAUAACAUGACUGCAUCACCAUCCAGUACAGCCAGCCCAGAGACACAGACUGUGAUCAGUGUUACGUCGGGUUACUAUGGUAAUUAUUCUACAGGAAGUUCCACUGCAAACACACCUCAAGGCAGUGGUCAUG